GCUGUUGAGAGAACAGGACAUGGUGAGCCCCGCGAGCCUGGGUGGAGGCCCUCAGGGUGCCCCCCAGCGCACACUCCGUGGGAGACGCCUGGCACUGCUCCUUCAGGUCCGGGGACGCACACUUGGAACUGAGGAGCCGGGACCACUGACGCGGCCCGAGGCGUCCCGCGAGUCCGGAGCCUGUUUCUGACCCAGAGGAGGGGGAAACGCCACAUCCAGGAGCAUCGGGGACACCCUGUGAAGGCUCAGAGGGACGUGUCCGAGGAAGGGGCCUGCACCCAGGACCACGGCCUGUGAGGAGGGAGCGUUCCGGCUCCAGUCCUGGGGCCCCACCCGGCCGUGGGGCCUGGACGCCUCUGCCGUGGGCGCUGGAAACGUGAGCAUAGCUCUGCACGGUUGACUGAACCAGUUACGCCUUUGGAAUCUGACUUCACACACACACAGAUUUUUGAUAAUAACUUAUCUGAGCACAAACACGGCUGGGGCCUGGGAGCCCUGAUGCCACACGUCUGGACACGACGCACACUCCCUCUGCUUUUGGGGAGGAGACCCCUCUGCAGACACUCCAAGGCCUGGGAAGAGACUCUGAACCCACCGGGCUGGGUGACCCCCACCUGCAGUGCCUGGCCUGCUGAGGGCAGCUCCUGAGGGCAGGGUCCACACUGGGCUGCGUGGCUGGAUCAAGGCUGGAUAUGCUGAGCAGAGAGUAGGACCAGACCUUAAGACCCUAAAGACAAACCAAAGAGGAAACACACUGCCACAGCCCGCCUGCCCAAGGUGAAGCGUUAAACCGCGUGAGAGGUCAGUGAGCGACGCGCCGGCCUUUCCUGCACAAUCGGGGCAGGUCUCCACGGCUGCUGCCUGAGAGAUGGGGUUAGAGGCCACGUGGCCUUGAGACGGCUCCCCCGGGUCACCCAGUUGCUCUCACUGCUCACAGGUCUGCAUCCCCUCACAGUGUGCGGUCACGGAACUCCUAAUGAAACUGCCCACUUCCUCCUCGCCUUCCAGCGAAAUGGGUGGCUUUAGCAGAACUAACUCUAGAAGCAUAAAAGUUCUGAUCUGAAGGAACCUUGAUGAUUAUUUGGUGCUGUGGUCCCUGGACCUUGUUAAAUGCAUACUCAGUCCCUCCCUGAGAUGAUAAAAUGCCAUCAUGAUGGUUUGUAGAGGGAGCCAGGACUCUCUGAACUUUACCAGGCCCUCCAAGUUCCUCCAUGGACAAACCCAGGCCUGGCAGUCUGAUUUGUGGUCUGCCAUCUUUUACCAGAAAGCAAACUGGGUCACUGGGCAGGUCCAGACCACAGUCCAUGCUGAGAGUGCUGGGGUGGACCCCACAGCACCCCAGCCUGCCUCCUGCAGCUCAGCUGUUUGGUGAGGGCGCUUCAGCUGCCCUGCUGAAGAGGGUGGGGUGGGAAGGAGCAACCUCAUUCCCUUAAAAAAAUAGAUGGCUUCUUUGGGGAUUCUUUAGAAUCAAAACCUUUAAAAAUAUAAGCAGGGUAAUAGUGCUGACUUCUUCCCCAUUAAGAAGCAUCAGAAUGAAGAGCAAACGAAAAUUUCCUCAACUCACAAGUCAUUAAAACACUCAUGGUUCCAAAUUAUUCUUUAAAAAGCACAGAUUGAUUUUUGGCAUCAUUAUUAGCAAUGAUUAUACAAGCAGACCUGUUACUGUGCUUCGCAGGUACUGGUUUUUGGUUUUUUUUUUUUUUUAAACACACUGAAGGUUUGUGGGCAGUCCUGUGUUGAAUGAACACUUCUGUGAUGGCAUUUCUUGAACAGCAUUAUUUUUUAAGGUUAUGUACAUUGUUUUUUUUAAGACAUACUGCAAUUGCACUUAAUAGACUACACUGCAGUGUAAACAUUACUUUUAUAUACAGGAGAAAAAGAAAAAUUCACAACUUGCUUUACUGCAGUGGUCUGGAACCAAACCCGCAGUAUCUCGGAGGUCUGCCCCUUAACAGGAACCGCCUCACUAAGCGUGUUGGCCAAAUGUGCGGCUUCACCUGAGACACGGUGAGUGACAGGACCCCUUUCCCUGCGGAGAAGUAGAGAAGUGCUGUCCGAGACCUGCGCUGCUCCGCACGUCCGCAGACACGGCCUUCCCCUCCCAGAUACGUGGCUGCAGACUCCCUCACUGAGCCCACCGUCACUUUCGGGAUCCUUCUCUUCACCUGACUCGGGAAGUCAGUUUGGUAGCAGCUGCUCUGUUACCCCUUCCCCCAGAAGGACCCUGCGUGUUCCUCUCCCCCGAAUGCUGCAGGGCACCACCCCUGCUUCCCCUGCCCCGUCCAUUCUGAUUUAAUGGGGGGCAUGGGGGUUAGGAAGGCUCCCCUGGGUGAUUUUCUCGUGCAGCUGGGGUGGAGAAGCACUACCUGGAAAGAAGCCACUUGGGCAGGUAAGGUGGGGGGGUGUGAAGCGGGCAGGAGGGGAGCAGGACCGGGGCCUCCGUUGUCCACAGCUCUGCCCAUGUCACUAGCUUGAGAUCGUGCAGUUAGACUCAGGACAGACUAAGCAAGGGUCUGCUGUUCAGUGAAGAAAGGAAGUAGAGAGCAGGCCUUCUGACGUACCUGUUUUCACAAAGGUGAGCUUUGUCUGAGAGACCUAGAGACAAGUCCCUCCAACGAGCAGCACCUCCAGUCUUCCCGCUCAGCCCCAAACCCGAGACGUCACCACGGAUGGCUCCCUGCCCCUCCCCGUCAGGCCCGGUGGCCUCCGCCUGCCACGAACACCGCCUCCUCCCACUUCAGGACUGUUGCCCCUCCUGCCCUGAAACCACCUCCCAGAAGCCCCCACCCGUCUCCAAAGGCAACCCGAGCCAUGUUUAGAACAGGGGGCCAGAAACAUGCCACUUGAGGGGCUUCCCGAAGACUCGGGGCUAAGACUCAAGUCCCCCUUUUCUCUCUCUCAUCCUGCAGCCUUGGCUCUGCUCCCCAAGCACCAGCUCCUUCCCCGUCUGCCUCACCCGCCCUGCCACUGAGCUCUGCCCUUCAGCCUGGCUCCUCCCGGAACACUCAGCCCGGAGGACGCGUCUCCAUCAUGUCCCCCUCUCCUGUAACUCCUGGACUGUCGGGUUCUCUGUUUUCUGUGGAAUGUCCAGCGUCUCCUCUCCUGACUCCACCCCAGGGCCUGCAGGAGCCCGAGAGAGGACAGCGAGAACAACAGGGGUAAGUGAGACACCCACCUUCCCAAAGUUCGCAUCAUUUUCUGAACCCAGCCACAUGUCUGGGACCUCAGAGCACACGCCAUGACACGGGCUGUACGUCAAGUGCCAGGACGUCAGAGUACAGCUGGUGGCCUGGCCUGGUAACCGUGCAGACCUGGGUCCAGCCACGCAGGUUCUCUCCUGGUGGGGACAGGUCUGUCAGCUCCCUAAGCCUUCAGGGCCGGCUCUGGUGAAGGGAAGGGGGAUCUGCAGAUAGAGCUGGGGGAAAGAGGAUAAUGGGAAAGUCGCCUGAUAUCAGCUUGGUCCCUGCUGGAAGCCAAGAAAGUCCAAACCCAGCUCCCCCACCCAGUGAGGUGUGGUGUCCACAAGUUCAGUAACUGCAUGAGCUGACCCUAAGUGUCAGUUUGACUUAAAACUAAUGUCUACUUAAAUCGUUUGGAAGGAGGCGAUUGAGGUGGUGAAGUAGAAGAAUGCAGAGUUCACUCCACCCACAAAUACAUCAAAACUACACUUAAAACUGGAACAAUUUUCACAGAACACCAGCUGAGAGCAGGCAGAUCUCAAAUACCCAGUGCUGAAAGAAAGACCCCCAUGUAACCUGGUAAGACUAAAGGAAAAAACCGGGGCAGGGAGAAUGCAGGUGGGGCCUGCGCCCCAAGGGAGGGAGCUGUGGAAGAGGACAGGCUUCCUCACCUCGGGACCCUCCCAUGCCAGGACAGAGGGGAGGCUGCAGGGGCCUGGACUUUGCCCACGAGGAAUGUGCACUGGCUGCCAGCAGAGAGAGGAACCGAAACUCCCAGCAGCCGCAUCCCCGCACUCCCCAGCCCAAGACCCACGCCUGCUGUUGGGCAGUGCCUGGGACUGAAGCUCGGGCGGACACACCCGAGGCGGGGAUUUGGUCUGGUGGUGUGGUCCAGAGUGCGGGUCUGCCCUGCAAGCCUUGUUGUCAGCGUGCUCACGAUGAGUGUUAGCAUGCCAGAGGCAGGUGGAGCGGACGCACAGACGGGGUCAGUCUUGUGGCUGUGCGUGCUGGGUGGCGGGCAGCGUCUCAGAGUUGCCUCUCCCAGCGGGAGCGCUUCAGUCCCACCUCCCUCUCGCUGCAGCUCAGAACCGGGUCUGGGGGCUUCUACUCCAACAACUGGGGAGCAAACCCUAACCCCCAACGGGGCAGUGACCAGCACAGAGCAAAGAGAAGGCCCUGAUCAUCACAGCACCAGGCACACCCCACCCCCCAUCAAGGGGACAGUGGCCAGCAUAGCCUGCGCCAAAGCCACAGCUGGUGUCCACAACAAAUACAGCCUUUGCACCAGAAAUACUAGUGUGACAUAGUUCUACAGAGGGGUGGUCCCACAUAAACAUGGUCUUUCAGGACCAUAGUACAUCACUGUUUCUCCUAAAUUUAUAAAGAAAAAGAAAUACAUAUAAAAUGAAAAAGUAGAGGAACUACUCCUGCUUAAGAGAAAUUCGCUGAAAGAACAAACAGACCUUUCCAGUCUAGCAGGCCCCCAAGUUCAAAAGGGAGGUAAUAAAAAUGCUGAAGUAAUUAAGAAGGCUAUCAGUAGAAAUGUAGAUCCUGUAACAAGGAACUAGAAACCAUAAGGAAGAGCCAGUCAAAAUCAGACAACUCAGCUGCCAAGGUUAAAAACCAGCAAACUAAGUAAUUCAGAAGAACCAAUAAGUGACCUGUAACAGAAAUCACCCAAUCAGAACAGCAGACAAAGACAGAUGAAAAAAAUGAAAGAAACACAUUAGGUAUAUAAGAUAAUACUAAAGCAUGCCAACCUAUGCAUUAUAGGAAUUUCAGGAGGAAGAGAAAGGGAAAAGUGGAUCAAAAAUAUAUUUGAAGAAAUUACGGCUGAAAACUUCCCAAACCUGAAGAAGGGAAAAAGGUAUCCAGGUGAAAGAAACAGAGUCCCAAACAGGAUGAAUCCAUACGGACCCACACCAAGAUGUGUCAUAAUGAAAAUGCCAAAAGUUAAACAGGAUUUUAAAGGCAGCAAGAGAAAAAGGUCAGUUACAAGGGAGCCCCCAUAAGGCCACCAGCUAAUUUCUCUGCAGAAGCGCUGAAUGUGUCUUACCACUCUCUGGCCUGCAAAGUCCUGAAAGGGAAAACUCUGCAACCUAGGACACUAUUCAGAAAGAUAAUCAUUUAGAACAAAAGGAGAGGGAAAGAAUUUCUCAGACAAGCAAAAACUGCAAGGAUACAGCAAUACUAAGCCUAUCCUAAAGGAAACA